GUCGAACGAUGAUGCCCACUUGUGGGUGGAUUAGUGGCGAACGGGUGAGUAACACGUGAGUAACCUGCCCUUGACUCUGGGAUAAGCCUGGGAAACUGGGUCUAAUACCGGAUAUGACUGACCGUCGCAUGGUGGUUGGUGGAAAGCUUUUGUGGUUUUGGAUGGACUCGCGGCCUAUCAGCUUGUUGGUGGGGUAAUGGCCUACCAAGGCGACGACGGGUAGCCGGCCUGAGAGGGUGACCGGCCACACUGGGACUGAGACACGGCCCAGACUCCUACGGGAGGCAGCAGUGGGGAAUAUUGCACAAUGGGCGCAAGCCUGAUGCAGCGACGCCGCGUGAGGGAUGACGGCCUUCGGGUUGUAAACCUCUUUCAGUAGGGAAGAAGCGUAAGUGACGGUACCUGCAGAAGAAGCGCCGGCUAACUACGUGCCAGCAGCCGCGGUAAUACGUAGGGCGCAAGCGUUAUCCGGAAUUAUUGGGCGUAAAGAGCUCGUAGGCGGUUUGUCGCGUCUGCCGUGAAAGUCCGGGGCUCAACUCCGGAUCUGCGGUGGGUACGGGCAGACUAGAGUGAUGUAGGGGAGACUGGAAUUCCUGGUGUAGCGGUGAAAUGCGCAGAUAUCACGAGGAACACCGAUGGCG
rnacentral:rRNA from 1 species